rnacentral:lncRNA from 1 species
GAUAGGCUUUUGUGGUAUGGCAGCAUAUGAGCUGGUAAUGAUUUUAUUUUAAAAAAUGUCAGCUUUGUUUGCUUGUUGAGAAUUUGAGAGAGUUGUACCUUUAUGCUGAAGCUUUUUUUUUUUGGAUUUUAUCUGCCGUAGAUUAAAAUCUGUAGCAAUGCUGCAGAAUUACACCGGAUGAAUUAAAAUGAAUAGAUUCUUCAGUGUAUAGUGUUGGACACAGCGUGCUGAUUGGAAUCCUGUUCAAAGAUCGGAAAGGAACAGAGAGUUUCCCUUGUUUAACGACCAGACGCAGCAUCCUAUCAUCUGCCUACCCAGGCCA